GACGAACGCUGGCGGCGUGCCUAAUACAUGCAAGUAGAACGCUGAAGGAGGAGCUUGCUUCUCUGGAUGAGUUGCGAACGGGUGAGUAACGCGUAGGUAACCUGCCUGGUAGCGGGGGAUAACUAUUGGAAACGAUAGCUAAUACCGCAUAAGAGUAGAUGUUGCAUGACAUUUGCUUAAAAGGUGCAAUUGCAUCACUACCAGAUGGACCUGCGUUGUAUUAGCUAGUUGGUGGGGUAACGGCUCACCAAGGCGACGAUACAUAGCCGACCUGAGAGGGGGAGUGGCCACAUGGGGACUGAACAACGGCCCGAAUCCCUAAGGGGGGCAGCAGUAGGGAAUUUUCGGCAAUGGACGGAAGUCUGACCGAGCAACGCCGCGGGAGUGAAAAAGGUUUUCGGAUCGUAAAGCUCUGUUGUAAGAAAAGAACGAGUGUGAGAGUGGAAAGUUCAACCUGUGACGGUUUCUUACCAAAAAGGGGCGGCUAACUCCGU
rnacentral:rRNA from 1 species